UACAGAGGGGGCAAGCGUUGUUCGGAAUUACUGGGCGUAAAGGGCGCGUAGGCGGCCUGCUAAGUCGAACGUGAAAUCCCCGGGCUCAACCCGGGAACUGCGUCCGAGACUGGAAGGCUCGAAUCCGGGAGAGGGAUGUGGAAUUCCAGGUGUAGCGGUGAAAUGCGUAGAUAUCUGGAGGAACACCGGUGGCGAAGGCGGCAUCCUGGACCGGCAUUGACGCUGAGGCGCGAAAGCGUGGGGAGCAAACAGG
rnacentral:rRNA from 1 species